AACGAACGCUGGCGGCAGGCUUAACACAUGCAAGUCGAGCGCCCCGCAAGGGGAGCGGCAGACGGGUGAGUAACGCGUGGGAACGUACCCUUUGCUACGGAAUAGCUCCGGGAAACUGGAAUCAAUACCGUAUGUGCCCUACGGGGGAAAGAUUUAUCGGCAAAGGAUCGGCCCGCGUUGGAUUAGCUAGUUGGUGGGUAAUGGCCUACCAAGGCGACGAUCCAUAGCUGGUCUGAGAGGAUGAUCAGCCACAUUGGGACUGAGACACGGCCCAAACUCCUACGGGAGGCAGCAGUGGGGAAUAUUGGACAAUGGGCGCAAGCCUGAUCCAGCCAUGCCGCGUGAGUGAUGAAGGCCUUAGGGUUGUAAAGCUCUUUCACCGGAGAAGAUAAUGACGGUAUCCGGAGAAGAAGCCCCGGCUAACUUCGUGCCAGCCGCCGCCGUAAGAC
rnacentral:rRNA from 1 species